UCCCACCACCUCCACCACAUAGCCACAAAUGUACUCCAAUAAGAAGAGAGCUGAACCAGGAUCAGCUGCCCAGAGAUGAGCCUGUCGCAGCUAAACUAAUGCUUGCCUGUGGCCAAGACCAAGCUUUUCCUCGGCUUUCAAGCACUAAGGUGGAAGAACCUAGGCACAGAGGUUAAGUGCUCUGCAAAUACUACCAGCCAUGUGCAAUGGGAUUUCCUGCCAGAACCAAGUUCUUACCUUUCAAUGGACACCAUUUACCUCUCAAGAUUACUCCUUAAAUUAAAAACGAAUUUACCAAGGUCAAUGGAAAAGUCCCAUUGCAUUGACUAGAACCAACACUUCUGAAGAAUUAUGAAAAUACAAAGGAUUUUGCAUUAAAAUUAUGUGAUCAUUUAAACAGGCAGAAGUUGCAAACUUAAAUGUCUACAGAGGCCAAGCAGGCAAAACAUAAAGCCAACCUGGUAGGUCUUGUAGCUGAUCAGAGAAUACAUGUUUUGCUGAAAAGAAGGUUACUAAAACUUGGCUUCCUCAGAAGGCUGCCAUGUGAGAAAGUGGACUCAGUGAAUGCCAGCUGUAUUUUUCAAUAGUUCGAGAGAAAGAAAUUGAGAUUUCUUUGUAAAACAUAUCAAUUUUUUAAUGUUUAUGACUAAAUAACUUUUCUCCUUUGUGAUUUUAUUUUUUUUGUUAAUUAUGUGAAAACUACAUGCCAAAGUCAAAAUGAUAUUGCAAGUGACGUUCGUAGAAGUCUUGCUUCUAUUUCUGUCCAUUGCAUUCUGUUUCAUCCCUCCCCUUAUAAGUAACUGAUUUCAUUAGUUUUUGUU